rnacentral:lncRNA from 1 species
UGGCUGCCCCUGGGUGAUGAUGGCUGUGUGGGUGCUCACCAUGGCCCACCGGAAGUGUGAGAGCACGGGGAGCAGCAUGUUGGACCACAGGGCGAGGCCAGGCCCUGUCUCCCAUGGCCAGGAAAGGACAUGGAGCUGCCCUAGGAGGGCUGUGUGCCCGAGGGCCAGGAGCUGGCUGCCCUGUGGCCAGAGAUCCUCAUGCCCUAGGAGCAGGAGUGCCACUACCACAGCCCCGAUGGGGACUCCAGCUCCGACUACAUGAAUAACACCUCUGAGGAGGAGGACUACGACAAGGGCCUGCCUGAAGAAGUGGGCAUCACCUGCUAUAUCUGCUACUGCCCUGACAAUGACAGCUACCUGGAGGGCAUGGACUGCAACUGGGAGGAGUACCUAGCCCACAGCAUGCACCAUGUGGACACCGACGAGUGCCAGGAGGUGGUGGAGGAGUGGGCAGAGGGCGGACUCGGCAGACCUGCACCCUUAGGGCCAUGGGGCUGAGGGAAGCCAGGAUUACCUGGAUGGCCACCUGCCCAUCCUGGAGGUUGAGCCCUCUGUCCUGGAGGCCCAUAACCAGGAAGAAGAUGGCCACUACUGUCCCAGCAAACAGGGCUACCAGGAUUGCUACCCCAUGGAGGCCAAUGGGAACACCAGUGCCUCCCCCUACCACCUGAGGUGUGGGGAUGGGGACCUGGAGGACGAGGAGGAGGGCAUCAACCAGAUCGUGACCGAGAUCAACAUGAGCCUGAGCAUGACCAGCAUCACUAGCGCCAGUGAGGCCAGGGAUUCUGCAGAGGCCUGCCUGCCCAGCAAGGCCAGCUGCAGCCCCAGCGGGCACAAAACGAGGCCCAAGUCACUGAACCUCCCUCCCGAGGCAAAGCACCAUAGAGACCCCCAGAGAGGUUUCAAGCCCAAGAUCAGGACCCCAGAGGAGAGGCUGAAGUGGCCCCACAAGCAGCUCCUCAUUGAUUACGCUAUGGCCAGAGGCAGUAGAGAAAGGAAUGAACAAAGAACAGAAAGGACCGCUUUGAUGAUCAACCCUCUACCCUCGCUCCACAACCACAGAACCAUGGCACUGGAAGGGACCCCAGGAAUUAAAAGUCACAGGUGGCAGGCCAGAGAGAAGACAUGAGUUGCCUGAGGCUGCCCCAUGAAUCAGUGGCACAGCAGGCACCAGAGCUUUGCUGGGUACACGUGCAAACCUGUAUGACCCCCUCACCAUGCUCACCUGUACCCCCCACCUCCCAGCACACCACCCAUGCCAAGGGCCCCCAGACCUCCCAUUCCACCUUCCCCCAUGCUACGUAUUCCUGUACAGUUCCAGACUCAGGACAUCCUUCUCCUUUAGUAACUCCUCAUUGCACUGCAAUUACAGAAAGGUUAAGUCAGGAUACAGCAGACAGAGCAGCAGCCAGCCGACCAGGAGCAACGGUGGCAGUGACUACUCCACAGUAACACUUCCUCACUCUCAGUCACGCCUGGCAUGUUCCAAAGGCAUGUCCAAGCCCAUGGUGUCAUUUUUUUUUCUUUU